rnacentral:rRNA from 1 species
GACGAACGCUGGCGGCGUGCUUAACACAUGCCAGUCGAACGGAAAGGCCCUGCUUUUGUGGGGUGCUCGAGUGGCGAACGGGUGAGUAACACGUGAGUAACCUGCCCUUGACUUUGGGAUAACUUCAGGAAACUGGGGCUAAUACCGGAUAGUAGCUCCUGCUGCAUGGUGGGGGUUGGAAAGUUUCGGCGGUUGGGGAUGGACUCGCGGCUUAUCAGCUUGUUGGUGGGGUAGUGGCUUACCAAGGCUUUGACGGGUAGCCGGCCUGAGAGGGUGACCGGCGACAUUGGGACUGAGAUACGGCCCAGACUCCGACGGGAGGCAGCAGUGGGGAAUAUUGCAGAAUGGGCGGAAGCCGGAUGCAGCAACGCCGCGUGCGGGAUGACGGCCUUCGGGUUGUAAACCGCUUUCGCCUGUGACGAAGCGUGAGUGACGGUAAUGGGUAAAGAAGCACCGGCUAACUACGUG